ACCCCGGUAGCUCAGACUGUAAAAGCAUUGGUUUGUUGCGUGAGAAGCUGAUCACUGCACCGAAGGUCGUGGGUUCGAUUCCUACCCGGAGCU
rnacentral:tRNA from 1 species